GUCGAACGGCAGCGCGGGGAGCUUGCUCCCUGGCGGCGAGUGGCGGACGGGGGAGUAACGCGUGGGAAUCUGCCCAGUAGUAGGGGACAACCCGAGGAAACUCGGGCUAAUACCGCAUACGCCCUACGGGGGAAAGCAGGGGAUCUUCGGACCUUGCGCUAUUGGAUGAGCCCGCGUCGGAUUAGCUUUUUGGGGAGGUAACGGCUCACCAAGGCAACGAUCCGUAGCUGGUCUGAGAGGACGAUCAGCCACACUGGGACUGAGACACGGCCCAGACUCCUACGGGAGGCAGCAGUGGGGAAUAUUGGACAAUGGGCGCAAGCCUGAUCCAGCAAUGCCGCGUGUGUGAAGAAGGCCCUAGGGUUUUAAAGCACUUUCAGUUGGGAAGAAACGCAGAGUGUUAAUACCACUCUGUAAUGACGUUACCAACACAAGAAGCACCGGCUAACUCCGUGCCAGCAGCCGCGGUAAUACGGAGGGGGCAAGCGUUAAUCGGAAUUACUGGGCGUAAAGGGCGCGUAGGCGGCUCCGUAAGUCGGGGGUGAAAGCCCCGGGCUCAACCCGGGAAUUGCAUUCGAUACUGCAGGGCUAGAGUAUGGUAGAGGAAAGCGGAAUUCCCGGGGUAGCGGGGAAAUGCGUAGAUAUCGGGAGGAACACCAGUGGCGAAGGCGGCUUUUUGGACCAAUACUGACGCUGAAAA
rnacentral:rRNA from 1 species